GCUGAGCACGGUGGCACGUGCCUGUAGUCCCAGCUACUCGGGAGGCUGAGGUGGGAGGAUUGCUUGAACCCAGGAGUUCUGGGCUGCAGUGCGCUAUGCCGAUCAGGUGUCCUCACUAAGUUCAGCAUCAAUAGGUGACCUCCCAGAACUGGGGGACCACCAGGUUGCCUAAGGAGGGGUGAGCCAGCCCAGGUCAGAAAUGGAGCAGGUCAAAACUCCCAUGCUGAUCAGUAGUGGGAUCGCACCUGUGAAUAGCCACUGCACUCCAGCCUGGGCAACAUAGCAAGACCCUGCCCUC
rnacentral:SRP_RNA from 1 species